CAAAUCGUUAAUAUGUUUAUAUUGUGUAGACGACAUUCAUAAAGAGUGCAAUGUGAUUGUAUUGCCAAAAAGGCAAGGCAUGUUGAUCCCUCGUGUCCAAUAGUGCAAUGGCCUUAGUGUAUACAUGUAACUAAUAAAUCGCUUUGCAUAGUUUUAUUAAUUUGCCAAGGAAAUCGUCAACAAGAAGAUCACCAUUUUCUUCGUUUUAUUUUCUUUUCCCUGAGUUUUUUCACUUGAGUGCGGCUAAAGCACAAAAGGAUUUCUUCAUUCAUUGGAAGGGGAAAGAAGUAUUUGAACCUGCAUCAAUGAUUUAUUAUGUAGAUUAACGUUUAUCUACUGUAAGUCAACUUUUUGUAUUUAAAUUAUCAUGAGACAAAACGAAGUACGAGUAUUAUCCAUGAUCUAUUUUCAUUCACUGCAAAUGAUUUAAAAGUAUAGAGUUCACUGAUGAAUUGUAAAAUUGUUGAAAAGUAAACUCACUAAAUUGAAAAAGAAUUUGUUAAAAUUCGCUGAAUAGGUUGAAUACUUUAGUAAACUCUAUAUCUUGUCUCUGUUUCCAGUUUCUUUGCAUGCCGUCGUAAUAUCUAC